rnacentral:rRNA from 1 species
AGCCUGAAGCAGCAACGCCGCGUGAGGANGACGGCCUUUGGGUUGUAAACUCUUUUAGUAGGGAAGAAGCGAGAGUGACGGUACCUGCAGAAAAGCACCGGCUUAAUACGUGCCAGCAGCCGCGGUAAUACGUAGGGUGCAAGCGUUGUCCGGAAUUAUUGGGCGUAAAGAGCUCGUAGGCGGUUUGUCGCGUCUGCUGUGAAAUCCUGAGGCUCAACCUUGGGCGUGCAGUGGGUACGGGCAGGCUAGAGUGCGGUAGGGGAGAUUGGAAUUCCUGGUGUAGCGGUGGAAUGCGCAGAUAUCAGGAGGAACACCGAUGGCGAAGGCAGAUCUCUGGGCCGUAACUGACGCUGAGGAGCGAAAGCAUGGGGAGCGAACAGGAUUAGAUACCCUGGUAGUCCAUGCCGUAAACGUUGGGAACUAGAUGUAGGGCCUGUUCCACGGGUUCUGUGUCGUAGCUAACGCAUUAAGUUCCCCGCCUGGGGAGUACGGCCGCAAGGCUAAAACUCAAAGGAAUUGACGGGGGCCCGCACAAGCGGCGGAGCAUGCGGAUUAAUUCGAUGCAACGCGAAGAACCUUACCAAGGCUUGACAUAUAGAAGAACGGGUCAGAAAUGAUUCACUCUUUGGACACUUCUAUACAGGUGGUGCAUGGUUGUCGUCAGCUCGUGUCGUGAGAUGUUCGGUUAAGUCCGGUAACGAGCGCAACCCUCGUCCUAUGUUGCCAGCACGUGAUGGUGGGAACUCAUGGGAUACUGCCGUGGUCAACACGGAGGAAGGUGGGGAUGACGUCAAAUCAUCAUGCCCCUUAUGUCUUGGGCUUCACGCAUGCUACAAUGGCCGGUACAGUGGGCGGCGAUACCGUAAGGUGGAGCGAAUCCCAAAAAGCCGGUCUCAGUUCGGAUUGGGGUCUGCAACUCGACCCCAUGAAGUCGGAGUCGCUAGUAAUCGCAGAUCAG